rnacentral:rRNA from 1 species
UGCAGUCGAGCGGUAACAGAUCUAGCUUGCUAGAUGCUGACGAGCGGCGGACGGGUGAGUAACGCGUAGGAAACUGCCGAGUAGUGGGGGAUAGCCCAGAGAAAUUUGGAUUAAUACCGCAUACGCCCUACGGGGGAAAGGAGGGGAUCUUCGGACCUUUCGCUAUUCGAUGUGCCUGCGUGAGAUUAGCUUGUUGGUGAGGUAAAGGCUCACCAAGGCGACGAUCUCUAGCUGGUUUGAGAGGAUGAUCAGCCACACUGGGACUGAGACACGGCCCAGACUCCUACGGGAGGCAGCAGUGGGGAAUAUUGCACAAUGGGCGCAAGCCUGAUCCAGCCAUGCCGCGUGAGUGAAGAAGGCCUUCGGGUUGUAAAGCUCUUUCAGACGUGAAGAUGAUGACGGUAACGUCAGAAGAAGCCCCGGCUAACUUCGUGCCAGCAGCCGCGGUAAUACGAAGGGGGCAAGCGUUGUUCGGAAUUACUGGGCGUAAAGCGCGCGUAGGCGGCGUCGUCAGUCAGAGGUGAAAUCCCAGGGCUCAACCUUGGAAUUGCCUUUGAUACUGCGAUGCUUGAGUUCGAGAGAGGGUGGCGGAAUACCCAGUGUAGAGGUGAAAUUCGUAGAUAUUG